UGCAAGCCAGGCUCUGAGGCUCUCUACUUCCGCUUCCCUCCCAAUACGUGGAGCGUGUCAGCCUGUCAGGGAGGCAAGCGGUAGUAGAGAGCCUGGCUUGCGAGGUUGGUACCAAAAUUGAGCGUAGUUGCGUAAUUACGAACGAUUUUUUCGUACGUUAAUAGCAUAAUUUUAUAGGAAACUUUGUAAUAGUUUUAAAUAAUCAAACUGCCAUUGUACCGGGUGUCCAAAAAAGUUACGCGCUGUUUGAUUUAUCGAAACGUGAAAACUAG